rnacentral:rRNA from 1 species
UGGCCUUGACAUUGAUAGAACACAGUAGAGAUACAGUGGUGCCCUUCGGGGAGCUUGAAAACAGGUGCUGCACGGCUGUCGUCAGCUCGUGUCGUGAGAUGUUGGGUUAAGUCCCGCAACGAGCGCAACCCUCGUGACUAGUUACUAACGGUUAGGCCGAGGACUCUAGUCAGACUGCCUCCGUAAGGAGGAGGAAGGUGAGGACGACGUCAAGUCAUCAUGGCCCUUACGGCCAGGGCAACACACGUGCUACAAUGGUUAGGACAAUGAGACGCAAUACCGCGAGGUGGAGCAAAUCUAUAAACCUAAUCUCAGUUCGGAUUGAAGUCUGCAACUCGACUUCAUGAAGCUGGAAUCACUAGUAAUCGUAGAUCAGCUAUGCUACGGUGAAUACGUUCCCGGGUCU